CUCAAGGAGGUGGUGCAAUAGCCACCAGAGAAGAAAAAAUAUCUUAUCCAGAAUCACUUUGCAGAGGGUGAUUGAGGCAGGGAGAGAGCUGUGCUCACAGGGAAAGAACAGCAGCAGACCUAAGGCUGCUGUUUUUUGGGAUUCCAGAAAGCUAUUCCAAAAAAGCAGAAGUCAAGCCAGUGAACAUGCAGAAAAAAAUAGCCAAACUGGGAGACAAAGCCUCUGCUCCAAUCCUCUGCUCCUUUCCAGCUCUAUUAAACCAUCUUCACAGGACCAAAAAGAGACUCAAAAGACAGAAGCUGCCUAGGACCCUUGGGAAAGCCUGGCUCUGGAAGCCUGUCCUCCUUCCAGCUACAGCAUAUCCUGGGGAGAAACCUUCAGGCUUAACCUUCAGGAGCCACCUCCUGGUAUCCACCUCCCACUGAAGCUGUUUUGGUCAGAGCCCUGCUCUUUCUUCACCUGGUUUUGGCAGGAAAGUUCAAGGUGUCCUGCCAGCAAGGAAGCUCCCUUGCUCCACCCUCUGCUCAGCACAGCAGCUCUCUGAGCUCAUCGAGGGUUUGCUGCACCAGAUCUGCCAGCGACUACGACCUGCUCUGUGUGGACACUCGAGUGGGAGUGGGACCCUCAGCAUGAAGUACUUCUCCUGUGAGCCCUGGGCAGCCCUCGUUGUGCUUUUCCUCAACGCUGUUCUCUGGGAUUCCUGCUCAGCAGCAGCUGAAGACACCUCCAAUGUUUCAACAACUGACUACGAACCACCAUGUCUUAAUGUGAACUUCUGCAGGCAAGCAGCCAUGUGCUGCCCUUUGGGCAUGGAUGACUACGGGUGGAUCACAGCGGCCGUCGGCUGGAGCCUUUGGUUUCUGACUCUCAUCCUGCUCUGCAUGGACAGGAUCCUGAAACUCCAGCCUGAUGAACCCAAAUACUUGGUGGCCUGAAGCAGAGCAAGCCAGCAAACGGCAGCACUGGGGAGCAGCGAGGCGCAGGCAGACUGACAAAGUAUUUCAAACACUUGCUAAGAAACAAAAAAGAAAUGGAAAACACCUUCAGCUAAAGAAGGCCAGAUCUAAGCGGGGCAGCUGCAGAGGCUUCAUCCUCUUUGGCAGGCUGGAGCUGCCAGCCAAGGUGUGGAGCAGAUCCCAACCAGUGCAAGGCUGUCCAACCCCUGCUGACUUCAAGGGAGCUACACAAACAUCCAACACGUGCCUUGUUUUGCUCUUUGGGGUUUUUUCACUGUAAU
rnacentral:lncRNA from 1 species